UACGGAGGGUGCAAACGUUGCUCGGAAUUAUUGGGCGUAAAGCGCACGUAGGCGGUUUGCUACGUCGGAUGUGAAAGCCCCGGGCUUAACCCGGGAAGGGCAUCCGAAACUGGCAGGCUUGAGUACGGAAGAGGGUCUCGGAAUUCCCGGUGUAGAGGUGAAAUUCGUAGAUAUCGGGAGGAACACCAGUGGCGAAGGCGGAGACCUGGGCCGAUACUGACGCUGAGGUGCGAAAGCGUGGGGAGCAAACAGG
rnacentral:rRNA from 2 species